rnacentral:rRNA from 1 species
CCUANGGGGGGCAGCAGUAAGGAAUAUUGGACAAUGGGGGCAACCCUGAUCCAGCCAUGCCGCGUGAAGGAUGACGGCCCUCUGGGUUGUAAACUUCUUUUGUACGGGAAUAAACCCCUCUACGUGUAGAGGGUUGAAUGUACCGUAAGAAUAAGGAUCGGCUAACUUCGUGCCAGCAGCCGCGGUAAUACGAAGGAUCCAAGCGUUAUCCGGAUUUAUUGGGUUUAAAGGGUGCGUAGGCGGGCUAUUAAGUCAGUGGUGAAAGCCCCAAGCUUAACUUGGGAAUUGCCAUUGAUACUGAUGGUCUUGAGUACACUUGAGGUGGGCGGAAUGUGUCAUGUAGCGGUGAAAUGCUUAGAUAUGACACAGAACACCGAUUGCGAAGGCAGCUCACUAAAUUGUAACUGACGCUGAGGCACGAAAGCGUGGGGAUCAAACAGGAUUAGAUACCCUANUANUC